UGAUACAGCCCUGCUAAAGCUGAGUGCACA
rnacentral:piRNA from 1 species